rnacentral:rRNA from 1 species
CCUACGGGUGGCAGCAGUGAGGCAUAUUGGUCAAUGGGCGCGAGCCUGAACCAGCGAAGUAGCGUGAAGGAUGACUGCCCUACGGGUGGUACACUUCUUUUAUAAAGGAAUACAGUGAGUCACGUAUUCCUUUUUGUAUGUACUUUAUGAAUAAGGAUCGGCUAAAUCCGUGCCAGCAGCCGCGGUAAUACGGAGGAUACGAGCGUUAUCGGGAUUUAUUGGGUUUAAAGGGAGCGUAGAUGGGUUGUUAAGUCAGUUGUGAAAGUUUGAGGCUCAACCGUAAAAUUGCAAUUGAUACUGGCAGCCUUGAGUACAGUUGAGGUAGGCGGAAUUCGUGGUGUAGCGGUGAAAUGCUUAGAUAUCACGAAGAACUCCGAUUGCGAAGGCAGCCUACUAAACUGCCACUGACAUUGAUGCUCGAAAGUGUGGGUAUCAAACAGGAUUAGAUACCCCAGUAGUC